rnacentral:lncRNA from 1 species
AUUCUAUGUGCCUUUUUACCUUGUGGCCUUUUUAUUAUUCUUACUAAGGUACAGAAGUGUCAACAGAAGCACUGAUGGCUCUUUUCUACUAUCUAACAGGGUUAAUUUCACCACAGAAUUGCUUUAAAUCCAAAGAACUUAAGUUUUACUUCUAUUAUUAUGUAUAAUGUUUAUGAUGCAAAUGGAUGAACAACUAAUUGUUGUUGAUGCUUUUCCUUACAAUGAAAAUAACAAUAAUUACAGACUACCAUCAAUUCUGUAGGCUAUGAAAACAACCAUUUUAAAGUAAACAAAGUGUAUGUAAAUUCUGUUGAGCAAAAUUCUGUCCUUUUUAAUCUUAGUUCUAAAUAUUUUGAUACAUUAUGACAUAUGACUGUUUGCACUAUAUUAUCAUGUUCUUUAAAAGUAAAUCUUUGGGUUUCUGUAAGAGGCUUGUUUGAUAAUGUUGUGAGCUGUGGUUAUAUUUUCUAUCGGGACUCUGAACACAAGAUGUAAUAAUGCAAAUACAUUAAUGUAGUGAGUAAAGUCUCUGGUCUCUGCAAAGUGAGAGAAUGAUCUCUUCAGAGAGGACUUGAAGUUGUUGAACAUAAAGAUGUUACCACAUCUUGCUUUCUUUGUGAUCAGAACAAAGGGUCCACCAAGAUCUCUGCAUGCCCAUCACCAAGCAUGUUGACUAAGGGCCAUAGAGGAUUUAACUUUUAUUGUUAUUACAAAUGGAACUUGCAGGCAUAGAUAAAGAACCCUGUGAAGAAUUCCUCUCCCAUCGUUUUGGCAAAGAACUUAGAUCCCAUUUUCCGUGGAAUUAGUGAAUGUUCCUAAACUGCUGCAACUACAUGUUUUUUGUUUCGUUUUUAACCAAGGCAGGCAUUUUAGAGCUCUCUUCUGCUCCACCACUGCUUGGACAGCUUGUUUUUUCUUUGGGUUUGUACUGAUCAUGUGACUGAGAUUAAUCACAUGGUUCUAUAGUGUAGUUCACGUGAAAAUGAUGUUUUCCACUUGAUUGCUACAAAUAUCAAGAGUUUGUUAGUUAUUUAAAAAUACUCAUCCAGUAAGUGAGAUGGGAAGGUUUAAAAAGUUAUGUAUGUUAUAUAUAUAACUAGAAAAGUUUUAUAUGUCUUCCAAAAAUAUGAUAAGCCUCUCUUUUAUUCACAGUUCUUCCUCUUUUCUCCCUUAAGAAAAAGAAAAGAUAGCACAAAACUUAAGACUUACCUAGGAAACCCAGUCAUAGUCCCAACAUGAUGUAGCUAUACCCCUACAGUUACUCCAGGUAGCUACACAAUAUACCAGGUAACAAUCAAUGCACAUUAUAAAGAACUUAUUGUUCUUUUCUAUUCCUUCAGUAAAAUGAGGGCCAGAUGGUAUGUAGCCCAUAUAUAUGUGAAUGAAAUAAGAUAAACCCCGUGAUCUCCUUGCACAGAAUUGCAAAUUUUUUUUGCAGUAGCAAGGGCCGGACUCAGAACUCUUGGAGUUCGUGUGGCAGAAUUUCUCUUACAUAAACCAAUGCUUGAAGAUGCUGCAAAUGAUCCUCUAAUGAUCCCCAAAGAGGAAUCAGAAUAGGGUUAAAUAACUCUCCCUUCAAACCCCAACCUCUGCUGCUGGCUGUGGGAUUUUUGGUGUGAGCCUAUCUAUGCACUCUAUCAGCCAGAAUCUGGCAUUUAGCUCUUAGUUACAUCUAGUAAAGGACAGUCUAUUGUUUAAAGAGAAGGUGCAUUUGUUCCUCAAUCAAGCAAGAGCACCUGUGUUGUACUGCUUUAUAGCUCAUGUAUAUUUAUAGUAAUGAAAAGACUGACUUGUACACAUUUCAGUGCCUUUCCUGUGUUAUGAAAGGCAGGUAGAUGUUAUAGCCAUAGAUAAAAACCCGUAGUUAAAUUGCACACUGACCUUAAAUCUCCUUGUAUAUGCCCUUGCAUCUUGCAUGUUAAAAGUUGGAUUACUGGGCAUGUGUGCAGCCUGCCCUGCUACAUGUUAGAGAAGUGUGCAUUAGUUCUUCAUUCUUUACAAUGUUUGACAGAUCAUCUCAUAAAAAUAAAUAAUUCAGGAAAACAGAGGGGGAAAGAAUUAGGUUUUACAAAAGAUGUUUCAAAGUCUUCCUGGAACUUAGAUGAUAGAGUCUAACAGUUACUUUGUAUCUAAUUGAUACAUUUCAUGUUAAUUUAAUAUUACCACCAUACAUUUAUUAAUCAAAAUUGUAUAGCACGUAACUCUUUUGGCUUUCAGGGUUCUCAAAAAAUUUUUAUUCUUUUGUUGCAUGUACUGUAUGUUUAGACCAGUUAUAUACUCAAUAUGGUUUUACUGUGCCUUACACAAAGAGGAAAUAUACAGAAUGUAUAUCAUGAGGUGGGAUAACAGAGUCUUUACUGCACUGUUAGGUGAUGGCACAUGGAGCAUGUCCCAGAACAUUUCUGUGCUGAAUUACCCAACCAAAGAGAUCUCAAGUAUGUAUGUUGUACUGUAAUAGGGGUUUAUGCCUGGACAAUUAAGUGUUUUAUUUGUUUUCUGAAAUGAUGUGAACUUAUUUUUCUAAACACUAUGCUAAAUAAACUUUAUAUUUAUACAUAUCUUGUAUAACAAAAUCGUUUAUCCCUGGAAAAGCAGAGAAAAGUAAGGAAAAAGAAAAACAAAAAGCCACACAC